GUCGAACGGUGAACACGGAGCUUGCUCUGUGGGAUCAGUGGCGAACGGGUGAGUAACACGUGAGCAACCUGCCCCUGACUCUGGGAUAAGCGCUGGAAACGGCGUCUAAUACUGGAUACGAGUAGCGGCCGAAUGGUCAGUUACUGGAAAGAUUUUUUGGUUGGGGAUGGGCUCGCGGCCUAUCAGCUUGUUGGUGAGGUAAUGGCUCACCAAGGCGUCGACGGGUAGCCGGCCUGAGAGGGUGACCGGACACACUGGGACUGAGACACGGCCCAGACUCCUACGGGAGGCAGCAGUGGGGAAUAUUGCACAAUGGGCGGAAGCCUGAUGCAGCAACGCCGCGUGAGGGAUGACGGCCUUCGGGUUGUAAACCUCUUUUAGCAGGGAAGAAGCGAAAGUGACGGUACCUGCAGAAAAAGCGCCGGCUAACUACGUGCCAGCAGCCGCGGUAAUACGUAGGGCGCAAGCGUUAUCCGGAAUUAUUGGGCGUAAAGAGCUCGUAGGCGGUUUGUCGCGUCUGCUGUGAAAUCCCGAGGCUCAACCUCGGGCCUGCAGUGGGUACGGGCAGACUAGAGUGCGGUAGGGGAGAUUGGAAUUCCUGGUGUAGCGGUGGAAUGCGCAGAUAUCAGGAGGAACACCGAUGGCGAAGGCAGAUCUCUGGGCCGUAACUGACGCUGAGGAGCGAA
rnacentral:rRNA from 1 species